UACGUAGGGGGCGAGCGUUGUUCGGAAUUACUGGGCGUAAAGCGCACGUAGGCGGCUUUGUAAGUUAGAGGUGAAAGCCCAGGGCUCAACCCUGGAACUGCCUUUAAGACUGCAAGGCCUGAAUCGCGGAGAGGUGAGUGGAAUUCCGAGUGUAGAGGUGAAAUUCGUAGAUAUUCGGAAGAACACCAGUGGCGAAGGCGGCUCACUGGACCGGUAUUGACGCUGAGGUGCGAAAGCGUGGGGAGCAAACAGG
rnacentral:rRNA from 1 species